rnacentral:rRNA from 1 species
GGUAAGCAGAACUGGCGAUGAGGGAUGCUCCUAACGCUUGGUUAAGGUGCCAAAAUGCUCGCUCAUCAGAUACCAUAAAAGGUGUUGGUUCAUUUUGACAGCAGGACGGUGGUCAUGGAAGUCGAAAUCCGCUAAGGAGUGUGUAACAACUCACCUGCCGAAUGAACCAGCCCUGAAAAUGGAUGGCGCUGAAGCGGGCUACCGAUACCAGGCCAUUGCUACUAAUUAUCACUCGACCUUUUGUAGCAAUGAGUAGGAAGACGUGGGGAUUGUGACGAAGCGUUCGGCGUAAGCCUGCGUGGAACAGUCUCUAGUGCAGAUCUUGGUGGUAGUAGCAAAUAUUC